CCUGUAUACACUGUAAAUAAUUUUCGUUGUUUUCACAGUUUUUUACUGUUUUUCUCGACAGUUUCUUACUGUAUAAGUUGUUUACAGUUUGUUACUGUAGAUUUGUUGUUUCCACAGUAUUUUAAUGUAUUUUCAACAGUUUUUUACUGCAUAAGCUUUGUACAGUAGGCUACUGUAGUUUUCCAAUGCAUUAUGGGAAAUAUUACUCUGAAUACAGUAUUACCAACCAACUGCAAAACACAAUUACAAACGUCUAUUUAUAUCUUAAAUGCUUAAUUUUUUGUGAGAUAUUUGGUUUAAUGUCUGUUUUCACAUCAGAUGCUCGGUGUGUUCCUUUAACAUAUCACGUGCCUUUUCUGAGGCUUUAAUGAAAUCACCAGCCAAUUCAAUAGACAUACCAUGAGUUCUUAAUAUUGUUGCCUCUGGAUCACAAAAUGUAUUUUUAAGAUUAGUUUAGGCGAUAAUAUAUAUAUGUAUAAUCUUCAAAUAGCAGUCGAUUAGUUAAAAAAGCGCUAAUUUUAGAAUUUGAUUAAACAAAUGCGGAGGGUUCAGGCGCGAGUCGGUCACGUGAUGUGCUCCUCAGUUCUGUCAGUAGGGGGAGUGGGAGAACGCGUGUGUGUCGUCGUAUCUGUUCUGCUCAUCUAGCGCGUAUUUCUUUAUUAAUAUCUGCUGGGUGAAUAUUAAUACGUAUAUGCUAACAUUAAUUUUGUGACCACAAAAUGACAGAGAGCUAUUAUACUGUACGAGAUAUUGUGUCGUCGUGUUUGUCUUCACUCACUUCAUCAUUAUCUGGUAAGUGCUAUAUGCAAUAUCUGGUAUGAGACUUUAUUGGCACUAAAGGGUUCUUUCGGCUAAAUUUUACUUAAUUUCUGUCAUAACAGCAAACAACUUCUGCAACUUCACAAUGAUUGUCUGCGUGUGUGCAAAAGAAAGCAUGUUCACUGUGUAAAACCCCGCGCAGGGCAUUUUCAAAUUAACGGUCAGGGCGAGUCUGAGCUUAUCGUGUUCUGUUGACAGAGACUUUGCUGAGUGUAUGUAAAUCUGGGCUACAGUCCACGACAAAUUUUCUACGGUAGUUUUACGCCUGCAUGCUGGUCCUUUCGUCUAUCGCGGGGAUAUCAUCACUUCAGCAGACAUCGCAUUGAAGAGAUCCUGUGCUUGCGUGGCGGUGUGUUUGUGUGCUCACUUGGAUUGAGACCAGCAGUGCUUUUUUAAACAGUGGAUUCUUUAUGACAUCAAGAUGUGGUUUGGGAAGGACCUUCAUCUAAAUCUGAAGACAGGACAUACUGGCUCAAAAAGGUGUUUCUGAUAUGGAGAAAAACCCUGCACUGCUCAUUUUAUUUCUUCAUCUUGAGAAUACAGCAAGUUUACCUUUUGUCUGGAAAAUGAUUCAGCAAAGCUAACACCAACAACAAUUUUUCAUGGCACUUUAAACCACCUUGAUGUGAGGAGCCAGCAUCAGAAUGGAUGGUGUCAAUAUCCUGAAUGAAGAAGUGGAGGUAACAGAGGUGGAUCUCAAGACUUGGCCAUGUUCUAGAUUAUAACUGGAUUAUUCCAAGUGCUGUCGCCCCUGCUGUAUAUGACGCCCCCACCACCUACACCAGGUGUAGGAAAUGUCGGUCCUGGAGUGCCGUUGUCCUGCAGAGUUUUGCUCCAGCUCUAAACAAACACACCUGAACAACUAGAUCUGAAGAGUCACCAGUAAACUACAGGUAGGCGAGGUUUUAUCAGGGUUGGAAAUAAAAUCUGCAGGAUUUCGGCACUCCAGGACUGACGUUGCCUACUCCUGACCUACACCUUCAUCCUGCCACUACCACCCAUACUUCCUACAAAAAACUGUAUUGUAAUAAUGCUUUUCACUGUAUUGUAUGAUGUGGUUUUUUCAUUUAGGGUAACUACACUAUGGCAACCAUUUGAUAAAUUGAUUGCGGACUGAUUUUGUUAUUUUUUUUUACUUUUUGUUUAAAAUCUAAUCAUUUUUUUUGUUUUUGUUUUGUUAAUAUUGUUAUAUACAGUUAAAACUGCACAAUACAUUUUCUGAU